CCCCCGGCCGGCCCCGCUCGCCGCGGCUCCUCCGCCCGGCGCCGGAUCCGGAGCGGCGCUAGACACGCGCCGCGGGCAGCGGCAUCAGGAGGGAGGCUCGGCAGGGAGAGCCCAGCUCUGGCGCCCCGUGCUCGAGGUGAUGAUCUUCUGAUCUUCUGGUCCAUGUCGCCGCACAAACACAACAGUACUGUGGCUGCCUCCAGGACAGAUGGCAACUAGGCAGCGGGUGCUCACAGUUUAUCUAGGCACAAGCGCACCAAGGUUCUGAGGUAAAAUUGGCACCUCCCCUGCUGGAACCUGUUUGAGCCAGGUCUGUGCUGACCGUUAACUGCUUUUCCCGCCAAAAUUCCAAAAGGGUGCAAAAACUUCGACUCCAUCUUUGUUUAGCUUCUUGUUGAACUGUUGUUUGUCAGGCACGCCAUUUUGAAUUUCAGACUCCAUAUCUAAUACAUGAUCAAAUACCUUAAUCAAAUGUAAAGGCAUAAAGAAUAACUUAUUUUAAAGCACAAAACAACUCAUAAUCUCUAUUUAAUAUACAAAACCAUGUUAUAUUUCCUCUCCUUGAUAGUCCUGAGGAAAUUCCAAAGGUACUAUCAUUACACAGACACAUAAAGGUGGAAAGUGCUAUAACAAUAAAGCAAUUUAAAUAACCUUAAGAUCAUACAAAACUAUCAUUUAACAAAGUGCAAUAUAACUGUGCAAUACAAUGAUUAUUACAAUGCAUGUAAAGUGCAAACCUUAGCAAUUGAGCUUUGUUAAAUCAAAAGGCAUAAUAACAACUUUCUUUUUACGAGAGCAACAAGAGUAUAUGGUCAAACCCAUGAGGUAGAAGAUUAUUAACGUUUGAGUGAUCGGUACCACUAUGAUGGGGUGCAUCAUUAUUUCCCACGCUUGCCUAAUAUCCCCUGAAUUGGUACUGAAAAUAUUCUCCCACCAAUGCGAAGGAUGAGUUUCUUCCUCCACUCAUUUUAUUGCUGCUACAGAGUGAUACACCGUUAGUAAAGUGCUCAUUCCCUCUACCUGCAAUCGUUGCAUAUAAUAUCCCAAAUGCUUAUGGUGCAUUAGGUGCUUUAAGGCAUUAAGAUCUGCCCCUAUAUGCACCAGUUCAAUAUGUUGGUAUACUGCAUAAUGAGUCCUAAACGUUUCCGAUUGCACAUUAUGUAAUGUAAUGUUGGAUAGAAAAUAUUGAACAAAGACACAGAUUGAAACUAGAGUUAUGUACACUUUCGUGGAACAUGUUGACAAUAAAGCACUUACAUAAACUA